CCAUCGGCCCUUUUCAGGGUCAUAAAAUUAGUAGAAAAGAAUUAAA
rfam:Aedes aegypti strain Liverpool supercont1.3 genomic scaffold, whole genome shotgun sequence.